rnacentral:sRNA from 1 species
AUAACCUGCAGUACAGCUAAAUCAUUUUACAAAUACAUCUUUCCUCCUUUUCCCUAGGAAUGCUUUGCCUUUUAUCUUUCCUUUGGAAGCAGUAUCCAUAAGCCUUCAUCAGAAGCUUCUAAAAGUGGAAGGAAUUUUUCUUUGUUAGAAUGGACCACGGGCUAAAUUAAAGGAGAUUGCUAUAAGCUGCUUUCAUGUUGUAUCAGAGUAAGAUGGACGGUAGCUUUGAUUGUGAUUGUGGUGAGCUGGAGCCACCUGAUCACUAACAAAAGACAUCUUCUGUUAACCAACAGCCACCAGGGCUUCCUGUUGAAAUAAAUAUAUAGCAACAAAGGAAGAAAAGAAGCAAAACGGAAAUAGUGCUUACCAGCACCUUAGAAUGAUGCUGCUCAGGACCAGUCCAACACUGAAUGUAUCUGCACUGUGAGGAGAAUGUUCAUAGAAGCCUGUUGUGUGCAUAUUUAUUCACAUUUUUGUUAAAUGUUAAAUCGUUUAGCACGGUAAUCUGAGUGCACAGUAUGUCAUUUCAUUCCGUUUGAGUUUCUUGUUUUCGUUAAAUGUCUGCAGAGUUGCUG